rnacentral:rRNA from 1 species
GUCCACGCUGUAAACGAUGUCAACUAGCCGUUGGUUCUAUAUACAGAAUUAGUGGCGCAGCUAACGCAUUAAGUUGACCGCCUGGGGAGUACGGCCGCAAGGUUAAAACUCAAAUGAAUUGACGGGGGCCCGCACAAGCGGUGGAGCAUGUGGUUUAAUUCGAUGCAACGCGAAGAACCUUACCUACCCUUGACAUCCAGAGAAUCUGUUAGAGAUAGUAGAGUGCCUUCGGGAACUCUGAGACAGGUGCUGCAUGGCUGUCGU